UACGUAGGGAGCAAGCGUUGUCCGGAAUCAUUGGGCGUAAAGCGCGCGUAGGUGGCUUUAUAAGUCCGUUGUGAAAGUCAAAGGCUCAACCUUUGAAAGCCGAUGGAUACUGUGAAGCUAGAGUACGGAAGAGGCGAGUGGAAUUCCUGGUGUAGCGGUGGAAUGCGCAGAUAUCAGGAGGAACACCAAUAGCGAAGGCAGCUCGCUGGGACGUUACUGACACUGAGGCGCGAAAGCGUGGGGAGCGAACAGG
rnacentral:rRNA from 1 species